rnacentral:rRNA from 1 species
UACGGGGGAGCAAGCGUUGUUCGGAUUUACUGGGCGUAAAGGGCGCGUAGGCGGCCACCGCAAGUCGACUGUGAAAUCUCCGGGCUUAACCCGGAAAGGUCAGCCGAUACUGCGGGGCUAGAGUGCAGAAGGGGCAACUGGAAUUCUCGGUGUAGCGGUGAAAUGCGUAGAUAUCGAGAGGAACACCUGCGGCGAAGGCGGGUUGCUGGGCUGACACUGACGCUGAAGUGCGAAAGCUAGGGGAGCGAACGGG